AAAGUGCAGAUUUUUUUUUUUGUUUUUGUUUACAUCGUUGUCUUCAUGCUUUCCUCUCUACCUUCUCUCUCAUUUUCCUUUACUUCCUUGGUGGCCAAACACCACACCCUUGCUCCACCCUUACACCACCACCUUAACCCACCAUCUCCACCACCGCCUGCCACCUUAUCUCGCCGGAAAAAAAGGUCCGGUCGGCCACUCCUUAAAUCCAUCCGAAAAUAGCACAAUAGAAGUAUCAACUCUAGAUUUUUCUUAAUCUUUUAAAGAAUCAAAGCAUGGGGUUUAUUUUCUUGAUGGAUUAGAGGCUUGUAAUUGGAUUGGAGGAAGGCGUCUCUACACCUCUUGGGAAUUAAUUUGUAGAGUCUCAAUCUACGCUUUUACUAUUUUUGGAGAUUCAUAGACUUUUGUGUGGCUC